UCGUAAACUUUAAAACCUUUUUGCCCGGGAAUACGAGAUAUGCUUAAAACCCAAAGGACUUGACGGUACCCCACAUCCCCCUAGAGGAGCCUGUCCUAUAAUCGAUACCCCCCGCUUAACCUCACCAUUUCUAGUACAUCAGCCUGUAUACCUCCGUCGUCAGCUUACCACGUGAGCGUCAGUGAGCUCAAUGUUCAUUCAACUACACGUCAGGUCAAGGUGCAACAUAUGAAAUGGGAAGAGAUGGGCUACACUCCCUAACUUAGAGAACACGAAAAACUACUUAUGAAACCUAGUCAGAAGGCGGAUUUAGAAGUAAAAUGGAACUAGAGAGUCCUUUUUAACCUGGCAC
rnacentral:rRNA from 1 species